AUUUUCAUCACAACAGGACUUUCUUGGAAGCAUUGAGCAAGGGUGAGAACAGACAUGAGGCUGAUUUCUCUAUGCUCUCACAUGCAGGCAGAAUUCUAAAUUGGCCAAGAUUCCUGUCCCCUGGUUGUUCAAUCAAACACAGAUUGAGACACUGCUGGGAAGGGGCUGUGCAACUGGUAUUCACAUUUCCAACCACUGGACCUUAAGAUACGGAGAUUACCCAGCUCAAGGCCAUUCUGUACUUCAGAGUUUGGACAACCAUUCUGCAAAGUGCUGAAGAUAGAACUCUUCGACUUAAAAGUCCCAAGAUUAAGAGCUAUGCCACAGCUUUGCAGGGGAAUAUUUGUUCUAUUGCCUCUGGAAAUACCACAGUUAGAUAGAACAGCGAUAUCAGGCAGAGUUUGGAAAGCACAGAGCUGUUACAGAGCAGUCUGUUUUCCUGAUUCUCAGAGUCUUAAUAUUUUAAGACCGACAUUACUCAUCUAUGACUGAACCAUCUGCCCGGGGACGCUCUUCCAUGGCUCAGGGACCAGGAGUAACUGGAUGUGAUGAGAGACUGGGGUGGAACCAGCCUGCUCCUGAAGAUUGAGCCCUGGGGCUUGGAGAGCCAGCAAAGCACUGCACAGAUGAGACUGUUCCCGUUACAUCCAGUUCUGCUGAGGUCAUGGAGUCCUGCCUUGUUUAAAUUAGACUUUACGCCAUAUUUAGUCAACCUUCCUAGAGUUAGAAGUUGAGUGUCUCUGUUGUCUUCAGUUGGCUGAGUCUCCAUCAAGCUGCAAGUCAUAACACGCGAUGAGACCAAGCAGUGCUGGCUGCAGGGUUACUCAACACACAGUGCUAGGUGCCAGCACCCGAGCCAUCCUCUCGGAUAAUGUGAAAGAAAACGGACCCCCAAUGAUGCUAGGAUGACAGGGAAAUUUUCUCCAGGGAAAGUCUGCCUGCCAGCACACAAACGUCUACACCCACAUCCAUACCACGUGCCAGGCUUUCCAAUUCUCUAUUUUUUUCUUCUUCAAUAUUCAACUUCUAUUUUCAC